GAGAGAGAGAGAGAGAGAGGAAAACGAAGAACGAAGCUUGCGGGCGACGAUUGACGAACGAAGAGGAGAAGAAGACCAAAGACGAACGAAGAUCCACCGAGGACAAACGAAGCCCGACGAAGAACGAAGAGGAGAAGGAGAACGAAGAAGCUCGACUGGAGACCAACGGCCGUCCAUUGAGGACGAACAACGAAGAACGAAGAGGAGAAGGAGAAUGAAGAAGCUCGACUAGAGACCAACGGCCGUCUACUGAGGUCUCUCUGUCUCUAUCUCGAAAAAAAAUAUAU